UUUUUAGGGCCACACCCGAGGCAUAUGAAAGUUCCUGGGCUAAGGGUCAAAUUGGCGCUGCAGCUGCAGGCCUACAUCACAGCUGCACCACCUCCAGAUCUUGGCCACAUCUGAAACCUACUCUGCAGCCUGUAGCAACACCAGACCCUUAACCCACUGAGCAAGGCCAGAGAUCAAACCCACAUCUUCACGGAUACUAGUCAGAUUCCACUGUACUUUCUCAAAGGCUCCUUUAAACCUCUAAAUUGAUGGUCGCUACAUCCUUUUACGUAGCCAAAGCAGAUAAUCUCCAAACUCAUUUUAAAAGAGGAGAAAGUGAGGCAGAGAGAAAUUAAGCAACUUAGUCAUACAGUUACUAGGGAUUCUGAACCAGAAUGCGGAGUUUCUCUGGCCAGAACUCUUAAAGUCUCCCAAAUGAGACUGAGUAGAAGGGGCAAAGGGGACCCCCAGGGGAGGGCUCAAAAGAUGUGUGGGAGCAAAAGAAAGGGGGCAGCCACACAGCGCCCCCCCCCCCCCACACACACACACGGAGGGGGACCAGCCUCAGAGACAGAGUCCCUCUGUCAUGACUGAAAGCAGCCCAGGACUAGCCAUCUCCAAGUCUUCAAAGAGCUUCAUGAUGGAGGUGCCCUCAAAACGGCUCUGGAUUCGAAGCAAAUGCCAGCCCCGCCCCUCUAUGCACCCAAGUCUCUGAGCCACUGGUUGGAGGAGGGUCGGAGGCCAUGAAGCCACUGGGAGAACGUGGAAGAGGAGCCCCAGCCCUCCCAUCUUGCUCCAACAGGUCUCCUGGUCUUCAGCCUCUAGACAGGGCGGCCCACGGCCCCUCAGUGGUUGACACAAUAAAAACACAAUAAAUGCCACGGGGGACCCCCUCCUUAAGAGACAGAGCAGAGACCACCUACCUUUAAGGUAGAAAGACAUUUAGAAUUGUUUCAUUUUCAAAUCAAGCUUGUGGUCACCACGUUCUUUUUAUUAUGGCUUCUUAGGAAAAGGCCAAGUAUGCUCCAAUUAAAUGGAAUGCUUGCAUUACCACCUGUUCCCCUACAGGCAUGCUGAGGUGGAUACAGGCACCUUGGGACCAGGAAAAUAAAGUGAAAGACAAGGAGCAGCUCAUGGUGCAAGAGUGGGCAUCAAGGGAGCUCAGAAGACGGAGCACACUGAGAUAAGGGCACACCCAGUCUCAGCUGAUCGAAAAAUAAAUAAAACGUGGCAUAUCCAUACAAUGGAAUAUUACUUGGCAAUUACAGCAAAUGAAUACUGACUCAUGCUGCAACAUGGAUGAGCCUUGAAAACAUGCUAACUUCAAGAAGGCAGACCAAAGAAGUCAUACAUUCUAUGAUACUUUCUCU
rnacentral:lncRNA from 1 species